rnacentral:rRNA from 1 species
AUUGAACGCUGGCGGCAGGCCUAACACAUGCAAGUCGAGCGGAGCGGCGGACGGGGGAGUAAUGCCUAGGAAUCUGCCUUGGAGUGGGGGAUAACGUCCGGAAACGGGCGCUACUACCUCAUACUAUCAGAUGAGCCUAGGUCGGAUUAGCUAGUUUGUGGGGUAAAGGCCUACCAAGGCGACGAUCCGUCACUGGUCUGAGAGGAUGAUCAGGCACAAUGGAACUGGGACACGGUCCUGACUCCCACGGGAGGCAGCAGUGGGGAAUAUUGGGCGAUGGGCGAAAGCCUGAUCGAGCAAUGCCGCGGGUGUGGAGAAGGUCUUCGGAUUGUAAAGCACUUUAAGUUGGGAGGCGUUACCAACAGAAUAAGCACCGGCUAACUUCGUGCCAGCAGCCGCGGUAAUUC